rnacentral:rRNA from 1 species
ACUCCUAGGGAGGCAGCAGUGGGGAAUAUUGCACAAUGGGGGAAACCCUGAUGCAGCCAUGCCGCGUGUGUGAAGAAGGCCUUCGGUUGUAAAGCACUUUCAGUAGGGAGGAAGGUAGUGUAGUUAACACCUGCAUUAUUUGACGUUACCUACAGAAGAAGCACCGGCUAACUCCGUGCCAGCAGCCGCGGUAAUACGGAGGGUGCGAGCGUUAAUCGGAAUUACUGGGCGUAAAGCGCAUGCAGGCGGCCUGUUAAGUCAGAUGUGAAAGCCCGGGGCUUAACCUCGGAAUUGCAUUUGAAACUGGCAGGCUAGAGUCUUGUAGAGGGGGGUAGAAUUUCAGGUGUAGCGGUGAAAUGCGUAGAGAUCUGAAGGAAUACCAGUGGCGAA